rfam:Macrostomum lignano uti_cns_0004672, whole genome shotgun sequence.
GGGGUUGUAGCCUAGUGGUUAGAGCGUCUGACUCACGACUUGAAGGUCGGGGGUUCGAUUCCUGAUCCCA